rnacentral:rRNA from 1 species
CCCGCCGUUAUAGAAGUCAUACAUGAAAUCACAAGUCCAUCGUUUGGUAAUCUUUCCAUGUGCCAUGAAAAUGAUACGUUUGAUGYCUAUCACAGGAGUGAGGGCAUGGGUGCUAAGGUCCAUGUCCGAAAGGAGAAGAAUCCAGACCAUCAGCUAAGGUCCCCAAAUAAUUGCUAAGUUGAACUAACGAAGUCAGAUUGCUAAGACAGCUAGGAUGUUGGCUUGGAAGCAGCCAUUCAUUUAAAGAGUGCGUAACAGCUCACUAGUCGAGGAGUUUGGCGUGGAUAAUAAUCGGGCAUCAAGCAAUUUACCGAAGCUAUGGGAUCAGUAAUGAUCGGUAGGGGAGCAUUCCACUCAGCGUCGAAGGUGUACCGUAAGGUAUGCUGGAGCGUGUGGAAAAGCAAAUGUAGGUAUAAGUAACGAUAAAGGGGGUGAGAAACCCCCUCGCCGAAAGACUAAGGUUUCCUGAUCAACGCUAAUCGGAUCAGGGUUAGUCGGGUCCUAAGGCUCAGCCGAACGGUGAGGCCGAUGGCAGAACAGGUUAAUAUUCCUGUACUACCUUGAUGAGUGACGUGGAGACGGAGCAGUGACAGCGCCGCGGACUGACGGAAUAGUCCGUUGAAGGGUGUAGACGUUGAUUGUGGCAGGCAAAUCCACCGCAAGAGUCGAACCUGAUAGUAUGGAGCGUUCUUCGGAACAAUCCAAUAGUGCGUGUAAUCAUACUCCCAAGAAAAUCCGCUAAACUUAAUCAUUAAGGUACCCGUACCGCAAACGGACACACGUAGUCGGGUUGAAUAUACUAAGGCGCUUGAGUGAUUCACGGUUAAGGAACUAGGCAAAUUGACCCUGUAACUUCGGGAUAAAGGGUCCCAACGAGAGUUGGGCGCAGAGAAUAGGUCCAGGCAACUGUUUAACAAAAACACAGGGCUGUGCCAAAUUGAAAGAUUACGUAUACAGCCUGACACCUGCCCGGUGCUGGAAGGUUAAGAGGAGAUGUCAUCGCAAGAGAAGCAUUGAAUUGAAGCCCCAGUAAACGGCGGCCGUAACUAUAACGGUCCUAAGGUAGCGAAAUUCCUUGUCGGGUAAGUUCCGACCUGCACGAAUGGUAUAAUGAUCUGGACACUGUCUCAACCGUGAGCUCAGUGAAAUUGUAGUAUCGGUGAAGAUGCCGAUUACCCGCGAUGGGACGAAAAGACCCCGUGAACCUUUACUAUAGCUUAACAUUGAAUUUGGGUAAUUGAUGUGUAGGAUAGGCCGGAGACUUUGAAGCAGGUACGCCAGUAUUUGUGGAGUCGCUGUUGAAAUACGGCCCUUUGAUUAUUUGAGUUCUAACUCUUGGAUAAGAGGACACUGUUUGGUGGGUAGUUUGACUGGGGUGGUCGCCUCCAAAAGUGUAACGGAGGCUUCUAAAGGUGCCCUCAGGACGAUUGGUAACCGUCCGUAGAGUGUAAUGGCAUAAGGGCGCUUGACUGGGAGACAUACAAGUCGAUCAGGUAGGAAACUAGAGCAUAGUGAUCCGGUGUUUCCGUAUGGAAGGGACAUCGCUCAAAGGAUAAAAGGUACUCCGGGGAUAACAGGCUGAUCCCUCCCAAGAGCUCAUAUCGACGGAGGGGUUUGGCACCUCGAUGUCGGCUCGUCACAUCCUGGGGCUGGAGAAGGUCCCAAGGGUUGGGCUGUUCGCCCAUUAAAGUGGCACGCGAGCUGGGUUCAGAACGUCGUGAGACAGUUCGGUCUCUAUCUAUAGUGGGCGUAUGAAAUUUGCGUGGCUCUGACACUAGUACGAGAGGACCGUGUUGGACUGACCGCUGGUUUACCAGUUGUGCCGCCAGGUGCAUCGCUGGGUAUCUAAGUCGGGAUUGGAUAAGUGCUGAAAGCAUCUAAGUACGAAGCCAGCCACAAGAUUAGAUUUCUUAGGGUCGUCAAAGACGAUGACGUUGAUAGGAUGCAGGUGUAAAGGUGGUAACAUCAUAGCCGAGCAUUACUAAUUGCCCGUUCACUUUCUUAU